rnacentral:rRNA from 1 species
AGCAGCCGCGGUAAUUCCAGCUCCAAUAGCGUAUAUUAAAGUUGUUGCAGUUAAAAAGCUCGUAGUUGAAUUUCGGGAUUGACGUGAUGGUCAUGCCUUAAGGGGUAUGAACUGUCACUGUUGAUUUCUCACCUUCUGGAGAAACUUGAUGUCCUUUAUUGGGUGUCUUGCGGAUCCAGGACCUUUACCUUGAAAAAUUAGAGUGUUUAAAGCAGGCAUUUUUGCUCGAAUACAUUAGCAUGGAAUAAUAGAAUAGGACGGCAUGGUUCUAUUUUUGUUGGUUUUCUAGGAUCACCGUAAUGAUUAAUAGGGAUAGUUGGGGGCAUUAGUAUUCAAUUGUCAGAGGUGAAAUUCUUGGAUUUAUUGAAGACUAACUACUGCGAAAGCAUUUGCCAAGGAUGUUUUCAUUAAUCAAGAACGAAAGUUAGGGGAUCGAAGACGAUCAGAUACCGUCGUAGUCUUAACCAUAAACAUGACCGACUAGGAAUCGAGACGAUGUUAAUUUUUAAUNUACUCG